GACGAACGCUGGCGGCGUGCUUAACACAUGCAAGUCGAACGGAAAGGCCCUGCUUUUGUGGGGUGCUCGAGUGGCGAACGGGUGAGUAACACGUGAGUAACCUGCCCUUGACUUUGGGAUAACUUCAGGAAACUGGGGCUAAUACCGGAUAGGAGCUCCUGCUGCAUGGUGGGGGUUGGAAAGUUUCGGCGGUUGGGGAUGGACUCGCGGCUUAUCAGCUUGUUGGUGGGGUAGUGGCUUACCAAGGCUUUGACGGGUAGCCGGCCUGAGAGGGUGACCGGCCACAUUGGUACUGAGAUACGGCCCAGACUCCUACGGGCGGCAGCAGUGAGGAAUAUUGCGCAAGAGGCGGAAGCCUGAUGCAACAACGCCGCGUGCGGGAUGACGGCCUUCGGGUUGUAAGCCGCUUUCGCCUGCGACGAAGCGUAAGUGACGGUAAUGGGUAAAGAAGCACCGGCUAACUACGUG
rnacentral:rRNA from 1 species